GGUACCGUUCCUAUACCUCGAGUC
rnacentral:siRNA from 1 species